rnacentral:snRNA from 1 species
GCGAUUAUAUUGUCGGAACU